rnacentral:rRNA from 1 species
UACGUAGGGGGCAAGCGUUGUCCGGAAUCAUUGGGCGUAAAGAGCGUGUAGGCGGCCAGAAAAGUCCGCUGUGAAAACUCGAGGCUCAACUUCGAGCUGUCGGUGGAAACUUUCUGGCUAGAGUCCGGAAGAGGAGAAUGGAAUUCCUGGUGUAGCGGUAAAAUGCGCAGAUAUCAGGAAGAACACCCGUGGCGAAGGCGGUUCUCUGGGACGGUACUGACGCUGAGACGCGAAAGCGUGGGGAGCGAACAGG